AAAUGAGAUUGCCUCUGUCCAUAAGGUUAGUUGAAUAAGACAGAUGGGACAAAGACUUGCUAAAGGAGCUGUGGGAAUGGAGGCAGGGGAUGUUUAGCAUAGCACAGAUGGAAAAGGCUGUAGGGGUCCAGGGAAGCCUUUCUAAACAAGUGGGAAUUGAGUGGAAUCCUAUGCCGCUUUACUCAGAAAUAGAAGACUCAUUGCAAUCAAUGAGACUUGCACCCAGCUUUCCAAUGGUUAUCUUGAGGAGCAACUAAUGUAUAAUUGGUGACUUUGUGAUGGUGCAUCAUGGAAAAGGAACAACAUUUCUAGAUACAAAAGUGAAACUGCCCAUGAAAUCAGCAGGAAAAAAGGCAACUCAGGAUACAUUAUUGCUCCCUCAGCAGUAUCUUCUUGGCGUUUCCUGUUGUUUCCAAAAUGGAGUCUUGCCACUGGGGGAUGAUGUCAGGUGAUACGUGGUACCCUCUAAUAAUUGAUCACCCAUCUCAUCUGCUUCACCUUGCCUCAGUUGCAGAUCUGUCUUGCUGCACAGCACCACUCCGGAUCCAGGCAAAGAGUCCCUGAUGUACAUGGCAACUACGGCCUUUCCGUGUGGUAAGAUUCCUGGUCACCUCCUCAAGCUCUACUGCCUUACUUGGAGAACUGAUGUUGCCUUCCAUCUUGCUGAUUCUUGAACACUUUUUCAUUCCAGUCUGUGGGAUUCCAUUUCUUCUUGUGUUUUCCUGUUGUCCUGAGAUAUAUUCCUGAGGACUGACCCAGCUCACCCUUAACAUUGUUUGGCCACUUCAGACAGACCCCAGCAAGUGAUCUUUGAUCAGGCAAUGCCUCUCUCUCUUCUGCAACUACAUCACAUCCUGUUGGCUCCCUGUUCUUGCUCUUGCUACCCACAGCAUUUUUCUUGCUACUGACACGGGCACUUCCAAUAGAUCAAUGUAUGGAAACUGAAAAAAAUUAAUGCAUUUCUAGCACUACCUGAACUAUGUCACAUAACAACUGGCAGCUUGCCACAGGGGAGGAGACCGUGCUAUUUGGGCAGAAACAGAUAUUCUUCCCCCUUGCCACAAGUUGCCAGUGGCAAUCUAAUGCCAUUCACACAGUGGUACAGCUGCUGCAGCCAGUAUUUCAGCUGAGGGGCUGGCUUCAUUCCUCACUCAUCAACCUGAGCAGGAAGAUGAAGGCUUAAAUGAUGCCAACUGAUCCUGACCACGGGGCUCAGCUGGGCCCUGGAAGUGCAAGACAGUCUGCUCUGCUCAUUGGCCACCUUCCCUUCUUCCUGAGAAAUAUGUGCUUGAGUUCAUUAGUUCCAAAUGACUAUUGACCAAAGCUACAGUGGGAUGUGAGUCAAGUGAGUGUCAGGGUGGUAUACUCUGAUGUCUGAAUCUAGUGCAGACAAUUCCAUGUGGGUUGUUUUUCACCAACAUGAUAACCUGCAAAUCCAUAGCUUCAAAUAGGGUUGUUGAGGAUCACUUUGCCAAGUAGGAGCCGUUGUUCACCACCUCUGCUUUGGUGUUUCUUUUUAGAACAGUUACUUCUUUCACUGUUAUUUUUCCUUUUCAGUGCUUUUGUAUUGGGCAAAUGGGCUUGUAUUUUCUCUUAGUAUUGUUUUUCUCCUGGUUCCCUCACAGCUGAGGGCAAAUUAGCUUAUAAGUAGCCUUGUCAACUUCUAUGUAUCUAAGCUGCUUUGGUAGUCACUUUGUCAGCUGAAACAUACAAAGAAAGCAACUACACAUAUGCAAGAGUGGAAUUGGUACACUUGCAAAGAUGCAGGGGUGAGCAGGAUACAGAUCCCUUGCACACUUCCAAGGAACCAAACUUUUUUCCCUCUAAAGUGACAAAUGAAGCACAUUCUCUGAAGGGGGCAGUUCAGGAAAGCUGGAAGAGGGCUGGAAGGGAGAAGGAAAGGGGCUGGGAUGGGGAAAGAAGACAGACUGUGCCAUAAAGCGCACUGGGACUCAGCAUGGGCUGCAAGACUGAGAGGAGUUCUGGGGGAAAUCACUAGCACUGCUUGCUUGUCUUUUGGGAGUGACAUGGAUUAGAAGUGAACAACUAACCCUUGGUGGCUUAUCCUUCAGCAUAGCUUAGCAUUAGGUGUGAACCCUCUCUAUGCUAGUUUCACUUUCACUAAAAGGUCAUAGCCCUUUAAACACACCAAUUACAGAUGCUUUUUUCAAUCUCAGGAUGCUUCAAACUAGCCUAUUUUCUCAGAAUUGCCAUCACUCAUUUCUCAUGAAGAAUCCAGAUUAUGUUAUGAACAAACAGUUGCAAUCUAAUAUUUUCUGCAUUUUCCUUUUUUCAGACCUAAGUUGUGAUUUACAGUUUUAAUUAAAAUGCAACUGCACUACCUGCCUAUUCCAUGAGAAAGGCAAAAUGCUAUUGAGGCCUUUCAGGUCUUCUAUGCCUUUAAUGAAAUGUUUCCUGCUUGCAAAUUCUGCCUGUUUUAUUGCUUCUUGUUGAAGUCUUACUGCUAAAGUGCUUCUUUAUCUAAUUAAAUAUUUCUCUUCACUGCC